rnacentral:rRNA from 1 species
UACAGAGGUGGCAAGCGUUGUUCGGAAUUACUGGGCGUAAAGGGCUCGUAGGCGGCCAACUAAGUCGGAUGUGAAAUCCCCAGGCUCAACUUGGGAACUGCAUCCGAUACUGGAUGGCUUGAAUUCGGGAGAGGGAUGCAGAAUUCCAGGUGUAGCGGUGAAAUGCGUAGAUAUCUGGAGGAAUACCGGUGGCGAAGGCGGCAUCCUGGACCGACAUUGACGCUGAGGAGCGAAAGCUAGGGGAGCAAACGGG